CCCCCCGCCUUUUGGCCCAGUUCGGGGAAUCUGGGUGGGUUAACCUUCGCCCAGCUAGUUUACAUUUCCUCAGGCAGGCUUGCUGAGAGAUGGAUGGUGCGUGAGCGAUGGGGAUGCCCACACCGCAUUCCUUCCUUCUCCUAAUGGCUCCCCUUUCUCCGUGUUUCACUUCAUGACUGCUCUAGGAGGCUGUGGGUCCCAAAUUAUCUCUUCAGUCCAUCUAAGAAAAACAAUGGGAUUGCCAGAAACACAUUCACAUUGAGGAUAUUUUCCUUCUCUGCAUAGUCAAGAUCGGUUCAUCACCCACUAUGACUGUGUUUUAGCUCCUAGGAAGAGAGGAAGAAAAAGUACAGGAAUACUCAUUUUGGGGAGCCCAAAUGAGAAGUUUGUCUCCCCUGCUGGACACAUCAUGUGGAGAGGAGAGUCUCUGAGAUUUUAUGUACAGGAAGAGAGGGAUAGUCAUCGCAGAGACCCAGUCGAGCGUCUAGACGACUCCAGUUGCCAUCUGACUAUAACUGCAUGAGAGACCCUGAGUAAGACCAGCAGAAGAACUUCCCAGUGGAGCCAGCUAAUCCACAGAACAUUCUGCAAGAGAGGAAUUAACUCAAACUAGAACUGAGGAGGUCUGCAAGGAAACAUAACAAGAAAUACAGCAUUUCUAAGACACUGACUGUUUUGGAUAUGGUCAAAUGUACAGUUUACCUAUAGAUGUGAAACCAUGGGGAGCUACAUCAAGACCUGCUCAAGAUGACUGGAAG